UACGGGGGGGGCAAGCGUUGUUCGGAAUUACUGGGCGUAAAGGGCUUGUAGGUGGCCAACUAAGUCAGACGUGAAAUCCCUCAGCUUAACUGGGGAACUGCUUCUGAUACUGGAUGGCUUGAGUUUGGGAGAGGGAUGCGGAAUUCCAGGUGUAGCGGUGAAAUGCGCAGAUAUCAGGAGGAACACCGAUGGCGAAGGCAGGUCUCUGGGCCACUACUGACGCUGAGAAGCGAAAGCAUGGGGAGCGAACAGG
rnacentral:rRNA from 1 species